GGUGAUAUAGCCAAGUGGUAAGGCACGGGUCUGCAACACCCUCACCGCCGGUUCAAAUCCGGCUAUCACCUCCA
rnacentral:tRNA from 1 species